AGUUGGUGAGGUAAAAGCGCACCAAGGCGACGAUCUGUAGCGGGUCUGAGAGGAUGAUCCGCCACACUGGAACUGAGACACGGUCCAGACUCCUACGGGAGGCAGCAGUGGGGAAUUUUGGACAAUGGGGGCAACCCUGAUCCAGCCAUGCCGCGUGAGUGAAGAAGGCCUUCGGGUUGUAAAGCUCUUUCAGCCGGGAAGAAAGUGCAUGGGUUAAUACCCUGUGCAGAUGACGGUACCGGAAUAAGAAGCACCGGCUAACUGCGUGCCAGCAGCCGCGGUAAUACGUAGGGUGCGAGCGUUAAUCGGAAUUACUGGGCGUAAAGCGUGCGCAGGCGGUUUUGUAAGACAGGCGUGAAAUCCCCGGGCUUAACCUGGGAACUGCGUUUGUGACUGCAAGGCUAGAGUACGGCAGAGGGGGGUGGAAUUCCACGUGUAGCAGUGAAAUGCGUAGAGAUGUGGAGGAACACCAAUGGCGAAGGCAGCCCCCUGGGUCGAUACUGACGCUCAUGCACGAAAGCGUGGGUAGCAAACAGGAUUAGAUACCCUGGUAGUCCACGCCCUAAACGAUGUCAACUAGGUGUUGGGAGGGUAAAACCUUUUAGUACCGUAGCUAACGCGAGAAGUUGACCGCCUGGGGAGUACGGCCGCAAGGUUAAAACUCAAAGGAAUUGACGGGGACCCGCACAAGCGGUGGAUGAUGUGGAUUAAUUCGAUGCAACGCGAAAAACCUUACCUACCCUUGACAUGUCAGGAACUUUCCAGAGAUGGAUUGGUGCUCGAAAGAGAACCUGAACACAGGUGCUGCAUGGCUGUCGUCAGCUCGUGUCGUGAGAUGUUGGGUUAAGUCCCGCAACGAGCGCAACCCUUGUCGUUAAUUGCCAUCAUUCAGUUGGGCACUUUAACGAGACUGCCGGUGACAAACCGGAGGAAGGUGGGGAUGACGUCAAGUCCUCAUGGCCCUUAUGGGUAGGGCUUUACACGUCAUACAAUGGUCGGUACAAAGGGUCGCCAACCCGCGAGGGGGAGCCAAUCCCAUAAAGCCGAUCGUAGUCCGGAUUGUAGGCUGCAACUCGCCUGCAUGAAGUCGGAAUCGCUAGUAAUCGUGGAACAGCAUGUCACGGUGAAUACGUUCCCGGGUCUUGUACACACCGCCCGUCACACCAUGGGAGCGGGUUCCGCCAGAAGUAGGUAGCCUAACCGCAAGGGGGGCGCUUACCACGGCGGGGUUCGUGACUGGGGUGAAGUCGUAACAAGGUA
rnacentral:rRNA from 1 species